rnacentral:rRNA from 1 species
UACGUAGGGAGCAAGCGUUGUCCGGAAUCAUUGGGCGUAAAGCGCGCGUAGGUGGCUUCGUAAGUCCGUUGUGAAAGUCAAAGGCUCAACCUUUGAAAGCCGAUGGAUACUGUGAAGCUAGAGUACGGAAGAGGCGAGUGGAAUUCCUGGUGUAGCGGUGGAAUGCGCAGAUAUCAGGAGGAACACCAAUAGCGAAGGCAGCUCGCUGGGACGUUACUGACACUGAGGCGCGGAAGCGUGGGGAGCGAACAGG